rnacentral:misc_RNA from 1 species
GAUGAAGAACGCAGCGAAAUGCGAUAAGUAAUGUGAAUUGCAGAAUUCAGUGAAUCAUCGAAUCUUUGAACGCACCUUGCGCCCCUUGGUUAUUCCAAAGGGCAUGCCUGUUUGAGUAUCAUGAACACCUCAACUCUUGUGGUUUCCCACAAUGAGCUUGGACUGUGGAGGUUUUGUUGGCCCUGUGGUCAGCUCCUCUCAAAUGGAUCAGCUUACCGGUGUUUGGUGGCAUUACGGGUGUGAUAACUAUCUACGCUCGUGGUCGUCUCCAAAUAACCUCCAGUGAUGGAGGUUCGCUGGAGCUUACAAAUGUCUCUCCCCAGUGAAGACAGCCUUUGAACGUUCGAUCUCAAAUCAGGUAGGACUACCCGCUGAACUUAAGCAUAUCAAUAAGCGGAGGA